rnacentral:rRNA from 1 species
GACAGAGGGGGCAAGCGUUGCUCGGAAUUACUGGGCGUAAAGGGCGCGUAGGCGGGAUGGCAAGUCGGUCGUGAAAUCCCUCGGCUCAACCGAGGAACGUCGAUCGAUACUGCUGUUCUUGAGGAUUGCAGAGGAGACUGGAAUUCCCGGUGUAGCGGUGAAAUGUGUAGAGAUCGGGAGGAACACCGGUGGCGAAGGCGGGGUCUCUGGGCAACAACUGACGCUGAGGAGCGAAAAGCGUGGGGAGCGAACAGG